AUGCACUUGAAAUCUGUGAAGUACAGAAGCUGUGGAGCAAGGACGUUAACUACAACGUCACAUGAACGGGCAACUCCAACAUGCUGCUUCUGUAAGAAGACUGGCCAUGCCUUACAGAAAUGUAGAGUAUUUUUGGAGAAAGCUGUGUCAGACAGAGUCAAGUUCAUUCAAGGUGAAAGGUUGUGCUUCAAAUGUCUCAAGCCUGGUCACCGCUCAAAGAGUUGCAGUAAAAGGAAUGUAUGUGACAAAUGCCACAAGCAACACCCUACCUGCCUACACGAGGAUCGCGUUAAGGAAGAAAACCCAAAGUGUGAACAAAACACAAAUGAACAAGGGACAAAUCAAGGCUUAAAUCAAGUACAAGUUACAGGAACAACAACUGCUACAGCUAAUAGAGUGAUACGCCAUCAAGGUAACACCCAAACGGCUGCCAUCGUUCCAAUAUGGCUUUCUUCCUUGGCACAACCUGCCCAAGAAGUCCUUGUAUAUGCUCUAUUGGACUCACAGAGUGAUACUACCUUAAUUCUAAGUGAAGUGGCAGAAUCUCUUGAGACAAACAAAGAACAAGUCAAACUCAGACUUUCUACCAUGACCUCUAAGACAAUGGUGGUGUGUUCUCAGAAACUAAGUGAUAUACAAGUGCGUGGAUUUUACUCUAGCAAGAGAAUCGCCCUGCCACCUGUAUAUGCAUGUGAGUUCAUUCCAGCUAAUAGAACACACAUACCCACAAAUGAAACAGCGAAGGUUUGGCCUCAUCUAGAGCACCUUCAGGAAGAGAUUGCACCAUUGCAAGAUUGUGAGGUUGGUUUGCUAAUUGGAUACAACUGCUCCCAAGCUCUCCUUCCCAGAGAAAUCAUAUCAGGCAAGGAAGAUGAGCCAUACGUACAGCGCUCAGACCUUGGUUGGAGCAUUGUUGGUCCAAGUAGCCCUUAUGUUGAUUAUGGAGAUGCUGUUGGUAUCAGCCACCACAUUAUAGUGAGAGAAGUGUGUCAAUCUCAAAAGAGAAGUACACUACGUUAA
rnacentral:lncRNA from 1 species